GAUAAAAUAGUGAGUAGUUGUUUCGGGGUUGGGAAACACUUGAGAGACACUAUUUUGGAUCGGUUCGGAUCACCUUGUAGCUACCUUGUUAUAGUGAAGAAGUGCUCGUAGCUGUCGCUGCUGCCGUAGCUGUACUCUCCGCAUUGGAGGGGAACUACGUAAAUCUCGGUGUUAUUUACUUACUGUUUUGUGCUUGGCAAUUUAGAGAAUAUUCCCACAGUAAAUUGGUCUACGGAGGUUGGCUUAAUUAUCUUCAUUAUGGUAUUGCGGUUGUAAUCACCCAUUCAUAGUGAUUUUAAGUGUGUCGGACUACCGCCACUUCCAACUUUCCUGAGAAAUAUUUACGAUGUGUGGUUUAUUAGUGCAAUAUAUUUACUCUAUUUUCGUCCGCUGCGUCCCAACAUAUCUCUGUGUACUCC
rnacentral:lncRNA from 1 species